GGAGGGGCUGGUAGCUCGGUGGUAAAGAAUCUGCUUUGCAUGCAAAAGACCCCAGGUUCAAUCCCUGGCGUCUCCA